rnacentral:rRNA from 1 species
GAUGAACGCUGGCGGCGUGCCUAAUACAUGCAAGUCGAGCGAACAGACGAGGAGCUUGCUCCUCUGACGUUAGCGGCGGACGGGUGAGUAACACGUGGAUAACCUACCUAUAAGACUGGGAUAACUUCUGGAAACCGGAGCUAAUACCGGAUAAUAUAUUUAACCGCAUGGUUCAAUAGUGAAAGACGGUUUUGCUGUCACUUAUAGAUGGAUCCGCGCCGCAUUAGCUAGUUGGUAAGGUAACGGCUUACCAAGGCAACGAUGCGUAGCCGACCUGAGAGGGUGAUCGGCCACACUGGAACUGAGACACGGUCCAGACUCCUACGGGAGGCAGCAGUAGGGAAUCUUCCGCAAUGGGCGAAAGCCUGACGGAGAAACGCCGCGUGAGUGAUGAAGGUCUUCGGAUCGUAAAACUCUGUUAUUAGGGAAGAACAAAUGUGUAAGUAACUAUGCACGUCUUGACGGUACCUAAUCAGAAAGCCACGGCUAACUACGUG